CAGCACCUCAAGUGGUCAGGAUGAUUAUUGGGCCUAAAGCAUCCGUAGCCGGCGCUGUAAGUUUUCGGUUAAAUCUGUACGCUCAACGUACAGGCUGCCGGGAAUACUGCAGCGCUAGGGAGUGGGAGAGGUAGACGGUACUCGGUAGGAAGGGGUAAAAUCCUUUGAUCUAUUGAUGACCACCUGUGGCGAAGGCGGUCUACCAGAACACGUCCGACGGUGAGGGAUGAAAGCUGGGGAGCAAACCGGAUUAGAGACCCGAGUAGUCC
rnacentral:rRNA from 1 species